rnacentral:rRNA from 1 species
UCGAAUUGAAGGCUGAAAUUCGCCUUCAUGAAGUCGGAAUUGCUAGUAAUGGCAGGUCAGCAUACUGCCGUGAAUACGUUCCCGGGCCUUGUACACACCGCCCGUCACACCAUGAGAGUUGGAGAUACCCAAAGCCUGUGAGCUAACUUUUAGAGGCAGCAGUCGAAGGUAGAAUCAAUGAUUGGGGUGAAGUCGUAACAAGGUAUC